AGAGUGAUCGCUGGCGGCGUGCUUAACACAUGCAAGUCGAGCGAGACUUGACAGCGUAUCGUCAAGUCUAGCGGCAGACGGGUGAGUAAUACUUGGGCAAUCUGCCCUUGAGUGGGGGACAACCGGCCGAAAGGCUGGCUAAUACCCCAUAAGACCACAGGGAUGCAUAUCCUAGAGGUCAAAGCUCCGUAAGGGGCGCUUGAGGAGGAGCCCGAGUCCUAUCAUGGUAGUUGGCGGGGUAAUGGCCCACCAAGCCGUUGACGGGUAGCCGGCCUGAAAGGGCAACCGGCCACACUGGCACUGAGACACGGGCCAGACUCCUACGGAGGCAGCAGUGGGGAAUUUUGGACAAUGGGGGGCAACCCUGAUCCAGCGACGCCGCGUGAAGGAUGAAGGUCUCGGAUUGUAAACUUCUUUAGAGGAUGAAUGCCCUGGUGAAUAGCCAGGGUGACAGUACUCUCUGAAUAAGCCACGGACUAACUACGUGCCAGCACG
rnacentral:rRNA from 1 species